rfam:Felis catus breed Abyssinian Contig59573.1, whole genome shotgun sequence. [26-MAY-2016]
GCCUGGGUGGCUCAGUCAGUUGAGCAUCUGACUUCGGCUGAGGUCAUGAUCUCACAGUCUGUGGGUUCGAGUCCCACGUCGGGCU